UACGUAGGUGGCAAGCGUUGUCCGGAUUUACUGGGCGUAAAGAGCUCGUAGGCGGUCUGUCGCGUCGGCUGUGAAAACCUGAGGCUCAACCUCAGGCCUGCAGUCGAUACGAGCAGACUAGAGUGUUGCAGGGGAGACUGGAAUUCCUGGUGUAGCGGUGAAAUGCGCAGAUAUCAGGAGGAACACCGGUGGCGAAGGCGGGUCUCUGGACGGCUACUGACGCUGAGACGCGAAAGCAUGGGGAGCAAACAGG
rnacentral:rRNA from 1 species